rnacentral:rRNA from 1 species
GACGAACGCUGGCGGCGUGCUUAACACAUGCAAGUCGAACGGAAAGGCCCUGCUUUUGUGGGGUGCUCGAGUGGCGAACGGGUGAGUAACACGUGAGUAACCUGCCCUUGACUUUGGGAUAACUUCAGGAAACUGGGGCUAAUACCGGAUAGGAGCUCCUGCUGCAUGGUGGGGGUUGGAAAGUUUCGGCGGUUGGGGAUGGACUCGCGGCUUAUCAGCUUGUUGGUUGGGUAGUGGCUUACCAAGGCUUUGACGGGUAGCCGGCCUGAGAGGGUGACCGGCAAAAUGGGGAAGGGAGGGAGGCCCGGCCGGCGAGGGGAGGCAGCGGGGGGAAAAUGUGAAAAGUGGGCGGAAGCUGGAAGCAGAAAGGCCGGGGGGGGGAGGAUGGCCUGCGGGUUGAAAACCGGUUUCGCCGGAGACGAAGGGGGAGUGACGGUAAGGGGUAAAGAAGAACGGGUUAAAUACGUG